rnacentral:rRNA from 1 species
CCUACGGGUGGCAGCAGUGAGGAAUAUUGGUCAAUGGACGAGAGUCUGAACCAGCCAAGUAGCGUGAAGGAUGAAUGCCCUAUGGGUUGUAAACUUCUUUUAUAUGGGAAUAAAAUGUUCCACGUGUGGGAUUUUGUAUGUACCAUAUGAAUUAGGAUAGGCUAACGCCGUGCCAGCAGCCGCGGUAAUACGGAGGAUCCGAGCGUUAUCCGGAUUUAUUGGGUUUAACGGGAGCGUAGGUGGUUUGUUAAGUCAGUUGUGAAAGUGUGCGGCUCAACCGUAAAAUUGCAGUGGAAACUGGUAGACUUGAGUACAGAAGAGGGGGGUGGAAUUCGAGGUGUAGCGGUGAAAUGCUUAGAGAUAACGAAGAACACCAAUUGCGAAGGCAGCUCACUGGACUGCAACUGACACUGAGGCGCGAAAGUGUGGGGAGCAAACAGGAUUAGAUACCCCGGUAGUC